UACGUAGGGUGCGAGCGUUGUCCGGAAUUAUUGGGCGUAAAGAGCUUGUAGGCGGUCUGUCGCGUCUGCUGUGAAAAUCCGGGGCUCAACCCCGGACUUGCAGUGGGUACGGGCAGACUAGAGUGUGGUAGGGGAGACUGGAAUUCCUGGUGUAGCGGUGAAAUGCGCAGAUAUCAGGAGGAACACCGGUGGCGAAGGCGGUUCUCUGGGCAUGUCCUGACGGCUGAGG
rnacentral:rRNA from 1 species